rnacentral:pre_miRNA from 1 species
UCUUAUGGAAGAGCAAAGAAAAUGGUUUCUUGAGAUGGAAUCCACUCCUGGUGGAGAUGCUGUCAA